UCAGGAUGAACGCUAGCGACAGGCUAAUACAUGCAAGUCGAGGGGCAGCAUAGAAGUAGCAAUACUUGGUGGCGACCGGCGCACGGGUGAGUAGCGCGUAUGCAACCUACCUAUCAGAGGGGAAUAACCCGGCGAAAGUCGGACUAAUACCGCAUAAAACAGGGGCACCGCAUGGUGAUAUUUGUUAAAGAAAUUCGCUGAUAGAUGGGCAUGCGUUCCAUUAGGUAGUUGGUGAGGUAACGGCUCACCAAGCCGACGAUGGAUAGGGGAACUGAGAGGUUGGUCCCCCACACUGGUACUGAGACACGGACCAGACUCCUACGGGAGGCAGCAGUGAGGAAUAUUGGUCAAUGGGCGGGAGCCUGAACCAGCCAAGUCGCGUGAAGGAAGAAGGAUCUAUGGUUCGUAAACUUCUUUUGCAGGGGAAUAAAGUGCAGGACGUGUCCUGUUUUGUAUGUACCCUGAGAAUAAGGAUCGGCUAACUCCGUGCCAGCCGCUGC
rnacentral:rRNA from 1 species